rnacentral:tRNA from 1 species
GGAGAGAUGGCAGAGUGGUCGAAUGCGGCGGUCUCGAAAACCGUUGUCCCGCUUCCGCGGGAUCGGGGGUUCGAAUCCCCCUCUCUCCGC